GGGUCAGUAGGUUGGUCGUGCCACCGGUACGUACUGGUCUCACUGAUUCCUCCUUCCUGAAGAGCCGUAAUGCCAUUAAUUUGGUGUUGCGGGGAAACAGGACUGUUACUUUGAAAAAAUUAGAGUGUUUAAAGCAAGCUAACGCUUGAAUACAUUAGCAUGGAGUAAUGAAAUAGGACGAUCGAUCCUAUUUUGUUGGUUUCUAGGAUUGACGUA
rnacentral:rRNA from 1 species